rnacentral:rRNA from 1 species
GACGAACGCUGGCGGCGUGCUUAACACAUGCAAGUCGAACGGAAAGGCCCUGCUUUUGUGGGGUGCUCGAGUGGCGAACGGGUGAGUAACACGUGAGUAACCUGCCCUUGACUUUGGGAUAACUUCAGGAAACUGGGGCUAAUACUGGAUAGGAGCUCCUGCUGCAUGGUGGGGGUUGGAAAGUUUCGGCGGUUGGGGAUGGACUCGCGGCUUAUCAGCUUGUUGGUGGGGUAGUGGCUUACCAAGGCUUUGACGGGUAUCCGGCCUGAGAGGGUGACCGGCCACAUUGGGACUGAGAUACGGCCCAGACUCCUACGGGAGGCAGCAGUGGGGAAUAUUGCACAAUGGGCGGAAGCCUGAUGCAGCAACGCCGCGUGCGGGAUGACGGCCUUCGGGUUGUAAACCGCUUUCGCCUGUGACGAAGCGUGAGUGACGGUAAUGGGUAAAGAAGCACCGGCUAACUACGUG